rnacentral:rRNA from 1 species
AUGCCUACGGGGGGCAGCAGUGGGGAAUAUUGGACAAUGGGGGGAACCCUGAUCCAGCGACGCCGCGUGAGUGAAGAAGUAUCUCGGUAUGUAAAGCUCUAUCAGCAGGGAAGAAAGAAAUGACGGUACCUGACUAAGAAGCCCCGGCUAACUACGUGCCAGCAGCCGCGGUAAUACGUAGGGGGCAAGCGUUAUCCGGAUUUACUGGGUGUAAAGGGAGCGUAGACGGCUGAGCAAGUCUGAAGUGAAAGGCGGGGGCCCAACCCCCGGACUGCUUUGGAAACUGCCUGACUGGAGUGCUGGAG